rnacentral:lncRNA from 1 species
UGGUGCGCAUGGACUAGGUCAGGGUCGGACUAGGACCUGUUCAACAUAAUUCUGUGAUGAACCAGCUAGGUUAAAGCUCAGCCAAGCCCUAUUUUACUUUAAAGAAAUGCAGAUCAAAUAAGUCAAUAAAGAUUUAGGGGAUGUUUAGUUCACGAUUGAAAUCAGAAUAGAAAUCGAAAUUGAAAUAAAUUAGAAUCGAAAUCAAAAUGGUCUA